UACGUAGGGUGCGAGCGUUGUCCGGAAUUAUUGGGCGUAAAGGGCUCGUAGGCGGUUUGUCGCGUCGGGAGUGAAAACCAUGGGCUUAACUCAUGGCUUGCUUUCGAUACGGGCAGACUAGAGGUAUGCAGGGGAGAACGGAAUUCCUGGUGUAGCGGUGAAAUGCGCAGAUAUCAGGAGGAACACCGGUGGCGAAGGCGGUUCUCUGGGCAUGAUCUGACGCUGAGGAGCGAAAGCGUGGGGAGCGAACAGG
rnacentral:rRNA from 1 species